CGUUGGGUUUCUUGAUUUUUGUACCAUCGGCUCUCGUCCGUUCUUGUUGUCGGGUCUAUCCUUAGACAAUUUUCACGUCAAUGCAGUGAUUGCUUCGAUGGGGGUUUUCUGAUAUUGUGCACGAGAUCGGAGGAGCCAUGGCUUCGAUUUUGCCAUCUGAAAUCAGUAGACCGAAGAUCAAUGUUCCCAGAAUCGGUGCUGUGGUCCCUCCAAAUCCUAGAAUCCGAUGCAAGGAUUAUGUUCAGGAUUGUUGUUCCUCUCAUCUGGAGGUUCAGAACCAGGUCAACUUCGAACGCAGCGGUGUUCCAUCAAGAUUCAUGUUCUAUAGAGAUGGUUCCUGGGUUGAUUUCCCAAGCCAGGUGUUGGAGAAUGUGAGACCGGGUUUCUUGGAGCGCAAGACUACGAUGGAUGUUUCGAUCGAUGGCUCAGAGUAUCGUUUCGAUUUUCUGAGAAUGUUGCAGAUCGAUAUCUUGACGGGUAAGGGAAGAUCGAUUGCUUGGAUUGAUGCGAAUGGGAAGUGUUUCUUUCCGAAAUUAUUCGUUAGCGAAGAGGCUGCCGAUGGAUCGGAAAAUCUGAAUACGAAGAGUAAAAUAAGAUCCGGUGAAUACUUUGGGAAGAGGAAGAGGGAGAGAUUGGAAUCUCAGGAAGAAAGCGAGGGAAAUUCGUCAACUAAUCGAGAAGCUGUGUCAAGACGGUGGAAUUCAAAUGAUCAAGAAGCUGUAUCAAAACGACAGCGUAUUCAAACAACAUGUGAUUCAGAGACGUGUAAGUGGCCGAACGUGAAAUUGAUGAAAAAAGGAGGCAGACCGUAUGCAAUGGCCGAGAAGUUCUUUUUGUCUCGGUUAAAAGACACUGAUCCAGCUGUGAGAGUAACCGCAAUUCAUCAGUGUACGUGGAAGGGUCCUCUGGAAAAAGCACGGUGGGAUGUUUUUCAUAAGCAGAUGGAGAGGACAAAGGCUGCCCAAGGGAUCUGCAAUACCACAUUUGCUUGGCAUGGGACGUCGGCCAAAACCGUAGCCAGCAUUUUAACAUAUGGCUUUGGGGUGCGGAGCCAGAUUGAUGGAUCUGAACCACAUGGGUUUGGUAUAUACCUGUCUUCUGUGCGUUUACCGCAUAUAAGUGCUAUGAUGUCCGAGGCAGAUGAUAAUGAAGAAAAGCAUGUAUUACUGUGCCGAGUAAUAUUGGGUAAUGUUGAAAUGGUUGAGGAUGGACCGCUUCCUUCUAGUGUGAAUUUUGACACUGGUGUGGAUAAUAUUGAGAAUCCUACUUGGUAUGUGGUAAAGUGGGCCAAUAUGAACACUCACAUUCUUCCCCAGUGUGUUGUGAGCUACAAGUCUUCCCAUAAUGCAUCAGGACAAAUGAGACCGUUAGCAUUUCUGAAGUGGGUUCCAUAUUCGUCAAAUGCAUUUGUUGUGAAAUUGUUUUCCAAGUUGGAGAUUUUGCUUCCUUCUGAAAAAGUUCAGGAAUUGGAGUCUUGGUGCAAAACAUACAAGGAUGGCAAGCUGCCCAAAGGUGCUUUGGUUGUUCUCUUUGGAGGAUCGACUGUUUUGUAGAUCAUCAUAAUUACCAUGAAGAUUGGGCCAAACCUUUGACAUUGUGAUCUGGCAUUUGGAAAGUGCUUCUGAUGCUCUAGAUUUGAUGGAGAUGAUGUGUGUACUUCAAAUGUUUUUUUAUUAACUUAUAUAAACUCAACAGCACAACAAAGCCUCAAUCUGGGCAAGUGGAACCUUCUUUAUACAUCCGUGUAGGAAUUUUUUCCAGUUGAAUAAAACUUUAGUUCAAAAUUUUAUGGAUUUCAGAGCGAUGAUGUGCGUGUCUCAGAUGAAUUUUAAACCGAGAAGGAGACCUCAGAGUAACAAAUGAUAUAUCUUUCAACAACUAUGUUGAAUUUUUUUCCCUACCAAUAACUCGAUUUUCAUUUUAGAUCAUCAAUUUUUGCAUUUCAUAUGGAUCAUGUGGGUACAAUGGCCUCACCCAGGCAGUCAUCUGGACGGGAAACCAUGUGGAGCGAGAGUCGCUCAGGUCUUCCGGUUGACCUUGCCCAAACACAGUGCGAGUGCCUGAAGGGGGGCUGACAAAAGCAAGCUCACAUUUGUGAGCAUUACCGUUCCUGAAAAGCGUUUUUGGGAAAGUUAAUGUGCAUACGUUAUUCCAUUAAUACCUAACGGUUGUGCGUGUAAUUGAGGAACUGAAGGGCAGUUGCAAGAGCCUAUAAAAGAGCCGAAGGCAGGACGAAGGGGGUAUUCUGAACUCUGUAUGCAUUAAGUCUUUUUGCAGGAAAGCACUGACUUAACCUUUGGGGAAUCGCCUAGCCUUUUCUGCAAGAUCCAAUAGAUCAUUUGCAAUCUUAAAUUCCCUAGUUAAUUUUUCAUCUUAAAGCUUCCAAAUGAUAAAAUAUCUGGAAUUUGGAAAAGAGCCAUUUGAUUUUGUGACUCCUAUUAGUCAAAUAUUAGAAAAUUUUCUGAAAUAAUUGAAUGAAUUAUUUGAUGAUUCCACAAUAUUGCAUCAAACAUAUUAAAUUUUCAGUCAAGUGGAUGAGUUUAAUCAUCUAAUUCCUUUUGUAAUUAUGUUUAUCAUCUACAAUGGUGUUGCUUAGCAUACUUUCAAAUAUUUCUGGGAUCGAUAAUUUCAUAUUGUAAUAAUGCAUAAAACGUAAGAUCUCCUUUUCAAGCACCGUUGCAUGACUUAGGGGUUUCUCAUACUAUAUUUGACAUGUAUUUGUAAUUCUGUGGCUUUCUUUCUGACCUGUUUUCAAGUCGGCUUCUGUCUUAGUAGCUAGUUGGCGACUUGAUGGCAAAGGAUGCUGAAUUGUCAGUCUGGACGGUUGAGUAAUGCAAAUAAAUAAGCAUUUUAAAGCUCGACUGCCGAUGAUUUUGUCUUUCUGGAAUCUGAAUGAGACUGCUAGGAAUGCUGUUGCUCGUCUGCUUGAGGUGGAACUUGGAAGCCAAAGAGUGGUCAGGAUGUUCUAAAACUUUCACUAUGCCUCUUCCUACAUGCUGAUCAUCGAAGUACAUUAUAUACAAGUGUAAAUUGCCAGGGAAGAACUCAUGGUUCUAAAAGGAGAACCUGUCUCCUUUAGGAGGUGCUCUUCUCCAACCCCUUCGCAGGACCUGCGAGUUUAUAGCCAAAGCCAAUUAAGCGUCACCCACUGGGAGAUUAAAAGCUAAACGUGUUUUUAAAAGACACUGGCAAAGGGACUAAAUGCCAUGAACUUAAACUAAUUGUCACUGUGCAUAUUGAACCAAA